rnacentral:misc_RNA from 1 species
AAGUCGUAACAAGGUUUCCGUAGGUGAACCUGCGGAAGGAUCAUUAGUAGUUAAGAGGUUGAGUGAAGGCGCAAGCCUGAACUUGACCGAGCGAGGGCGACAGCCUGAGCAGAGGGUGGAGGGUGGAGUGAAGUGGAGGUGUAUCACAUGGUACUACCACCACCCACUCCCAUCCACACCCAGUCACGGGCGCUCGCAGGAGUGCCUUGUAACAAGUAAUUUACAUCUAAAUCAUACAAGCAAAACUUUUAACAAUGGAUCUCUGGGCUCCU